UAAGGGCUCACCAAGGCGACGAUCCCUAGCUGGUCUGAGAGGAUGAUCAGCCACACUGGAACUGAGACACGGUCCAGACUCCUACGGGAGGCAGCAGUGGGGAAUAUUGCACAAUGGGCGCAAGCCUGAUGCAGCCAUGCCGCGUGUAUGAAGAAGGCCUUCGGGUUGUAAAGUACUUUCAGCAGUGAGGAAGGCGGAUGCGUUAAUAGCGUAUUCNUUUGACGUUAGCUGCAGAAGAAGCACCGGCUAACUCCGUGCCAGCAGCCGCGGUAAUACGGAGGGUGCGAGCGUUAAUCGGAAUUACUGGGCGUAAAGCGCAUGCAGGUGGUUUGUUAAGUCAGAUGUGAAAGCCCGGGGCUCAACCUCGGAAUUGCAUUUGAAACUGGCAGACUAGAGUACUGUAGAGGGGGGUAGAAUUUCAGGUGU
rnacentral:rRNA from 1 species